CGGGGUAGCUCAGUUGGUAGAGCGACGCACUCGUAAUGCGUAGGUCAGGGGUUCAAUUCCCCUCUCCG
rnacentral:tRNA from 1 species